rnacentral:rRNA from 1 species
UACGUAGGGUGCGAGCGUUGUCCGGAAUUAUUGGGCGUAAAGGGCUCGUAGGCGGUCUGUCACGUCGGGAGUGAAAACUCAGGGCUUAACCCUGAGCCUGCUUCCGAUACGGGCAGACUAGAGGUAUGCAGGGGAGAACGGAAUUCUUGGUGUAGCGGUGAAAUGCGCAGAUAUCAGGAGGAACACCGGUGGCGAAGGCGGUUCUCUGGGCAUUACCUGACGCUGAGGAGCGAAAGCGUGGGGAGCGAACAGG